AACAUAUUACCUCCGUCUCAAAUUAGUUAUUUUAGAUUUGUCUAUAUACGGAUGUAUCUAACACUAAAAUGUGUUUAGAUAGUUUCGUAGUUAGAUAAAUUUCCGACAACUAAUUCGGGACGAAGGUAGUAUGUU
rfam:Triticum aestivum genome assembly, contig: Triticum_aestivum_CS42_TGACv1_scaffold_250006_3DL